rnacentral:rRNA from 1 species
UACGUAGGGUGCAAGCGUUAAUCGGAAUUACUGGGCGUAAAGCGUGCGCAGGCGGUUUUGUAAGUCUGACGUGAAAUCCCCGGGCUCAACCUGGGAAUUGCGUUGGAGACUGCAAGGCUAGAAUCUGGCAGAGGGAGGUAGAAUUCCACGUGUAGCAGUGAAAUGCGUAGAGAUGUGGAGGAACACCGAUGGCGAAGGCAGCCCCCUUGGUCAAGAUUGACGCUCAUGCACGAAAGCGUGGGGAGCAAACAGG